rnacentral:rRNA from 1 species
AUGUGGAGAAGCUUCAUCUGGAAUUCGCCCGAGGAAGAUAUUCUUAACUUCAUCAACAAAUCUAUCCCCUCAGAACCAUAUUUUUGUACAGGCGAGACUCUCUUCAAUAUUUCUUCUAUCCAAACAAAUUUGUGCUUGAUAAAGACUAUCGUAAUUUAUGAUUAUCAAGGUGGUACUUUAGUCUACAAGUCCAAGGAAGGAGAAAAGGACCAGUUUAUUAAAAGGCGCUCCAUUUGGUUAUCAGAGAAUAUAGGAAGAAAACCUUCUGAUUUCAUCGACUCUCUUGUUCUCAAAGGCCCGAGCCGUCCCAUGACUGCUGAUGAUGGGUGGUUGAUCUUUGAAAUUGAUGUUCCGGUAAAAUCAUCUUUCGAGCCUGAAGUUGACCCUGAUAUACCUGGGAUAGUAUUCGAGACCACGUUAUUGUUGGAUGAUGAUUACCUUGACAUACCCAUGUGCAGUUUGAUUUCUAUCAGAGGUGGCUUUGUGAACAUCACAUCACAUCAGUGA